rnacentral:rRNA from 1 species
UACGUAGGGGGCGAGCGUUGUCCGGAUUUAUUGGGCGUAAAGAGCUCGUAGGCGGUCUGUUGCGUCCGCUGUGAAAACCCGGGGCCUAACCCCUGGCUUGCAGUGGAUACGGGCAGACUAGAGGUAGGUAGGGGAGAAUGGAAUUCCCGGUGUAGCGGUGAAAUGCGCAGAUAUCGGGAGGAACACCGGUGGCGAAGGCGGUUCUCUGGGCCUUACCUGACGCUGAGGAGCGAAAGCGUGGGGAGCGAACAGG